AAGUCGUUCGCAAUACAUCUACAGGUUUUUCAAAUCUUAGGGCUGUAGAAGGUCUGCUCCCCAUCAAGGUCCUCCAGAGACGGAGUUGAUGAUCCCAAUUGGAGGCCGAUCUCCGGGCUGCUCUUCCCUCCUUGGUGGCUCAGGUUGCGGCAGGACCCUUGACCGAUCUUCUCUACCCUCAGGUCGGCGUCGAAUGAACCUGUCGAGCCGACCUCGUCUGAUGAGCUUCUCGAUCUCGUCUCGGAGUUGAAUGUAUUCCUCUGUGUCGUGGUCGUGGUCACGAUGGUAGAGGCAGAACUUGUUAGGAUUGUGCUUCCCAGGGUGUGUGCGCAUCCUCUCUGGCCUUGGGAGCUGCUCUCUGACUUCCAUCAGCACCUGGGUUUUCGAUGCGUUG
rnacentral:lncRNA from 1 species